rnacentral:lncRNA from 1 species
GGAGGAGCAGAGAGGAAAGAAUGCAGAGCUUCCAAAAAGCCGUGAACGAGUCUUCUUCAGCCCUGGCAGGGUGCCCAGGGGUUUCGCAACUGCCCUCCAGUGAGAGGACGUGGGGGAGGGCGGACUCUCGCUCUGCGCAUCAGAGACUGUGGGGUGAUGGUGGCCACACAGAUGACUUUGGCUGCAAGUAAAAGCAAACCCUGCCUCCAAUGGGCUACUUGAGGAAAGCGUCUCAGCCUGCUGCAGGUCCAGAGCAGCCCUGGGGUCCUCAACAACAAGGCCUGCUAUUCUCUCCCACCUCCAGCUGAUUCUCCUGUGGUCCCAAGAUGGCUGUCAGUCUCUUUGGGCUUGAAAGAUGGUGGCCAGUGGCAGUGGGGGGCUAUGUGCUUAUUCAGCAGGACUGAGCCACAGAGGACAUCUCUCCCAGCCCUUACUUGUAAGUCCUUUUCUUUGGUCUGAAUAGAAAAAUGGGGUCAUGUUUCCAGCCAAUCAGGGCCCCUCCAGGCCUGUCAUGCGCUGAUUGGCUUAGGUUAACUGGGAUCUUGGGCUAAACCUGGGGGUGGGGAGACUAUCCCAACAGAAUUGGGGUUCUCUGAGGAAGGAGGAGUGGAAUCCAUUGCUGGGUGAGUGAGCAGCACAUCUAUAUGACGAUGAACCUGAGGGCCUCAGCAGCUCCCCACACAACCUGGGGUCAGCAGGACAGGGACCAUCUCUAGAUCACCAGGGAGGACUCGGGCACAGAGAAGGGGACUGACUUGCUUGGGCCACACAGGAGGUAAACAGCAGAGCCUGAAUUGAGAAAACUAAGUGCUCAGCAAACAAACCAGGCCCAAGCUGCCCGUCACGCUCCUGGAUGGCUCCUUCAGUCAGGGCUGCUGCCUCCUCUGGGCUCCCAGGCCCUGACCACCAGAACCGCCAGCCUCCAGCCGGAGCUGCAUGAACAAACUCAUUGUUGAGCUUCCCAAGGGCUGCCAGAGCCUGGCUGGGUCCAGGAGCAAUGGUGUGGUUUUGGAUCCUAGCCUUGAGCUUCUGCGUCCUCUUUGUCAGAUGGAACCCCGAGCUCCACUUUAGUACCUAUUGGCAUAUUUGUUGAGAGGAGGGUCAAGUGAGAUGAGGACAGGUGCUUUGAUAUCUGUGAAGUGCUAUGGAAGUAUCCAGCUUCCCGUCUGCUGGGGAAGGGCUCAAUCUAUGGGCCUCAUCUGCACCAAGCCCUGGAAGACCACGGGGAAACCAGCAGUCAGAGGGAGUCAGGGUCCAGGCUCUCCGAGAUGGCCAGACCUGGAGCCAUUUAACUACAAAUGCACAGUUUGUGUUUGCUUACAGAUAAAGAAAUGUGUCCAGAGUGGGGUGGUGAGCUGCUCAAGGUCACACAGGACUAGAACCCAGUCCCCUGGUUCUCAGCCCCUGUCCUCUGCACCAGACCCUAAGCAUUGAGUGAGGGUCCCCCUCCCCAGCCUGUGUGCGGGAGGGACAGCUGCAAAAAGACUCGUGCCUGCUAGCACGUCCCCAAGUUUCUUGGGGGCCAUUCUUCAGGGGUUCACUCAGGCGAGGCCACACUUCCCCUCGGGCGGCUUCCUGUUUUGGCCAAACAAUGACUCUCACCGGGACCUGGUGCCAGCUGGCUGCAGCUGUGCCAAGGCCCUGACUCCUUGCGUGCAGGAGAGGAGAGGGCCUGGUCCUUAGGGACUAGGCCGGGAACCCCACACCCAGACGUGUUCUUUGGGGCCCUCUGAAUUCAGUCAUUCCUUCAUGUCCUGAUCUCACACACAAGCAGCAGGCUUUGUUUGGGUACCCAGAAUGCAGAGAGAACUGAGGAGAAUUUGCUAAUUUUACAGACAUUCAUCCUGCACCCAGGAGGAGGGCAUUGUCCCCGGUACAAGAAACGCAGAUGUACACAAGAUGCACCCUCUAAACGUGCUCUAUAUCCUCCCAUGUCCUUGUAAAAGCUCAAUCUGUCCCCAGUCAUCUAGUGCAAGCAGCUCCACACUGAAGCCUCAGAGCCCAUGGGGGAGAGAUUGUAAGGGCAUGAAUAAAAAUAAUAAAGAUGACAUUUUUAAUGUUGACUUUUUUGAGAGGUGAGGAAAUCAAAGUUUGGAUACGAAAGGUACAGGAUGGAGCUGGGACCUAACCUGGAUCUUUAGACUCCAAACCUUGCACUUCAGGAUGCUUCAAAAAGAAGCCAUCUAACUGGAGGCCCCUCGAGAUUGGAGAAGGUAGGGAGGGUCCUUGGGUCCAUGGGGUGCGGUGCUUGAUGAUGAAUAAAAUAUGGGUGGAGCCCGGAUGAGGGCAGGGAGGUACAGGGAGCCUGCUGUGUGUUAGGCCCAGUCAUCUUGGUUCCAUUCUCCUUUUGCUCCCAGGACUGUCCUGCUGGGGGGCUCUCUGUGCUGAUUGCUGUGGUUGCUUCUCCUUCUUCUUAGGUUCGGCCCACAGGAGGCUGUAGCAAGGGGUCUGUGAGCAGGAGACAGAGGUGGGAGCACUCGCCCCCUGCUUCUCCUUGCAUGGCUACAGUCAGGCAGCAGCUGCAUUCUGAUGCCACAGCUGCUGUUGGGUGGCUCCAAGAACCAGGUGGGUUGCCCAACACACAUGCCUGCCCCUUGGCUCUGCAGACCUGCUGUGGUAAUGGCUUCCUGCUGCUGCAGCUCUCCAGGUGCCCCUUCACCCCUUCGUUCCUGUCACCCUGCCUUCUCUUGGCCUGGUCUGCAGAUUCCCUCAAGGGAUUUCCCCCAUGUCCUGUGGGAGUCCUGCCUAAUAAGGCACCAUGGCCAGAUCUCUGAAUCAAAAUUUUCCAUCUUGGGCUGGGGAUGUAGCUCAGCAGUAGAGUGUUCGCCUAGCACAUGUGAGGCCCUGGGUUCCAUCCCCAGUGCCACACAUACAAAAAAUUCUGUCUCCUUACCUCUCUCCAGCAUCACUUAUCCACACUCUCCUGAGACAGGGCAGUGACCUGACAAAAUCUGCUUUCCUGGAGCCUCUGGAAUUUGUUGGUGCUGCUGUGGAGACAAUGAGAGGGAGGUUCCCACGGGCAGGCAUUUGGUCCUCCUAUGUCCCUCUUCUCUGGAGAAUCUGAGAAGAUAUUUGGGCCCUAUUGGGCCCUGCCAGGAGGUCUUGGGGGAGCAGUGAUCUGGUCCUAGGCUUGUCUGCUCCCCAGACCCAAGUUGGGGGUAAGGGAGGGGCUAGAAAUCAGGGAGAAGAGGCAGAGGCUCCUUCUGCGGGGCUUCAGGGCCAUAGGAGUUCCCUGGGCAAUGCUUUUUCCUGGGCAACACUUUCUGGUUUAGCAGCGGGAACAGGCCAGGAGGGAGGGACGCAGCUGAGGUCACUGGAUGAAUAUUUCUCAAGUCUGCCUCAAGCCCUACCUCCCUCCUGAGUGCCACACACAGACCUCCACAUGCUCCAGAGACCUCUGUAACCAUGAGAAGUUGACACCAACACAUUCCCUUCCUCCCCUGCUCCUUGGCCCAUUGACCCUCCAUCAAGGGAAGGCACCAGAAGGCUGGUGCCAGGCCUGACUGGUUUUCCUCUCCAUUCAGGGCUUGAGCCUAUGCGGACUCUUGCCAAGUCCUACUCUGCUGUCUUCUCCCCAGGCCAUGGCCAUCUCCCCAAGCUGGGUCUCACCAUCUACACUUAAUGAUGACAGCGGCCUGAUCUUCCUGAUUUCAGGCUGGACUCUUCCAAUCCAUCCUCCAUUCAGCAGCCGGAGCGACUUUCCAGAAGUACAAAUCUAAGCAUGUCCCUUCUGCUCUUAAAUGGAACUCAAAAUGUGUGAUAUGCCUUUCCAACUUUACCUCUAAAGAGAAACGCUAUCGGAUGUUCCAUCAGCUUUGCUGUCUUCUUCACGUACACCGUGCUGUAGUCAACUACAAAAUAGCCCCCUUGGAAAGAGGCACCUUCCCACCAGUUCAUCACUGUCUUAGCCUAGAUUCCUCCGAAGCAGAGCAUGAGACAAAGAUUUAGGGCAAGUAGUCACUGGAGAGGCGAUUUCAAGAGUAAGGGAAUGGGGAGAGGAGGACAGGGAAGGAAGCAAACCCCAUACCAGAAUGUGUUUUAUCAGUCUCCACUGUGGACAACAGGGCACAUUCUCACAGGACCCUGUGGAACCCACAGAAGGACUCGGAAUCAUCCACCUGCAAAAUGGAAGCUAGAAAUUGAUCUGCUAACUCCAGCCCCUACUGGUAAGGGCUUCUAGAUAUUUGGGCCAUAUGGCUGCCUAAGCAAGUUCCCAUGGUGCCAAAGAGCCUGCAGCAGCUUUGGAAACUUGUAGCUCAAGCUUGGCGUAGAUGCUGGCUGUGGGAGGUGACCUUGGAUUAGCAAGGAAUUGUUCACCUUGGGGGGGGGGGGCAGCUGAAAUCCAGUGCGAGACAGGGUGGCUGCAUAUAAACACUCCUUCAUUGGAAAAAUCCAUGUGGCUUGCUGGAGCCAGCUGUGUAUGAGAUGCCCAGGUUGCUGAAGAAGAGGUUGUGCUCAGAGUUUACCCAGGGCAUCAUGGAAUGAGCAUGGGCUUUGCAGGCAGAUGAGUUCAAACCCUGCUUCAGUUUAUACCAGCUAUGGAACUCUGAGCAAAUCACAUCACCCAAGAGCCACAGUGUCCUUCUCAGCCUAGGGAUAAUCAUUUCUACCAUAUAGAAAUGCUUACGAGAACCAAGAGCAACCCAAGAAAGCAAUAGAUUUGGCUUUCUGAUGUUGAGUCUGUCCGUUUCUUUCUUCCCACAGGAAG